UGCCUGAUCCAGCCAUGCGGCGUGUGUGAAGAAGGUCUUCGGAUUGUAAAGCACUUUAAGUUGGGAGGAAGGGCAGUAAGUUAAUACCUUGCUGUUAUGACGUUACCGACAGAAUAAGCACCGGCUAACUCUGUGCCAGCAGCCGCGGUAAUAAAGCG
rnacentral:rRNA from 1 species